rnacentral:misc_RNA from 1 species
UUUUGUGUGGGGCGCAUCGCCUUGUGCCUGCCGCUUUCCAGGUGCAUUGGAGGACACAACCAUUAGACACUGUGAUAUAGACAUUCUGGGAAACGUGGAGACCGGCGAGCGCAAAGGCAGCAGGCAGGAGCUGCGUUGGUUAACACUCUUCUGCAUAUGACAUGCCUGCGUCAUGACGAGUAACGCGACGCUGCCGCAUGCCGUUGCCCUCGCUCAGGAGCUAGAGAUAGAGCUCCGGCACCUCGACGCCCUUCAACAACACUACGCGCAGCUGCUCGUCCAUCAGCUGAGUAGCCUUGAUUUUCUCAACGAGGGUGACGCUGCUACUAUGGUUUCUGCGAAGGAACCUACCAUGGCUCACAACGGGGGUUGCGCAGUUGCUAAGCCUGAAGUGGCCGUUGCCACUACCUGCAUCAAGCAGCCAUCGGCAGUGCCGCUGCCUUGGAGGCGCCACACCCACGACGCGGCAAGGGUUCUGCAACCACCCUUCCGGCACAGCGCUUGUCCUGUGCCUAGCACCAUCAGUAGCAGUUCUUCGCCUCUCCUACAACCUUUGGCGGCAACCAGUGUGCCACCGCCGCUUUCUCCACAACCGAAACGAAGCGGCAGAAGUGCUGUAAAGCCAGUGACGCCUCGGCCCAACGCUGACAAGACCUGCAAAGAUCUGCCUCGGCACCAGCCUCAUGUCGCGGCUGCACCGGUGGUGCCCGCUUCAACCAAGGAUGAGGCGACACGACGAGCGCGACGGGCACUGCGAUUCAUUCGCGAGGAACGGGAUGCCUACUUCAACGCGAAAGCCCGGCGUGCCGAGGAGCUGCUGCGAGAGGGGCGCGAAGCUGCGCGAAAAAACCGUGCACGCCGGCAGGCUGACAUGGCACAGACCCUCCCCAAGGCUGCAUAAACGUCGCAACUCUGCCCCCCCCCUCCCGCCCCGCCCUCUCUUCUGUUCUUGUGUGGUGUGCGUUGCUGCCCGAUACCUCUUCUCGCACCGCUCACACCCUCUCCUUCGUCCCUUCGUGCCUUCCAGCCGUGGCACUACAGUGAGCGUGUGGCUUACGCAUGCCGCCAUCGCCAUCGUGAUGAUACAUCCCCAACACCACCACCACUCUCCCUCUCGUUACGCCAUUAUGAGUUACAGAAGGAAAGAAACUCCAGAGAUCCCUGUACGUGUGCGUGCGUUUGUACGUGUGUACGUAUCAAGACGUAGAAGGCGAGGGCAUGAGAAGAAUACUGUUGACGUGGUGUCUUCUCUGCUCGUCUGCCUCGCCCUUAUCCCACCCUCCUCCGCUUCCCAUUCGCAUCCCCAUCCUUCCUUCCCUCUCCAGGUGAUGUCGGGAUGCACGUGAGCCGCCAUGAGAUGCAGGGGAGGGGAGAGUGGCUCUCAGAUGGCGCAAGUGAGGUCUAUCCAGGCCCGCCUGCUACGGCCAUCACCCCCCUCCUCCUCCCCUCCCCUCUGACGUGUUGUGGCUUUCGCCAACAAUGAUGCAUGCGCAGAUGUCACUUCUCUCUUCCUAUGUUCCUAUCCUUAUGUGCGUUGCUAACGGCGCAUGGGCGGCUGGUCCCUCCUUGUGCCGGCUGCAUCUCUCCCCCUCCCCCUCCCCCUCCUCACUCCUUUCUUGUCCCACUGUCUCUCUCUCUCUCUGCUUUGCGCUUGCGGGUGUUCACCAUCGUUAUGAUGCCACGCGUGCCAUUGGGUGACGCAACCACCACCCCCUCUCAG